UACGUAGGGUGCGAGCGUUAAUCGGAAUUACUGGGCGUAAAGCGUGCGCAGGCGGUUCGUUGUGUCGGUGGUGAAAGCCCCGGGCUCAACCUGGGAAUGGCAGUGGAAACUAGGGGACUGGAAUCUGGCAGAGGGGGGUGGAAUGCCGCGUGUAGCAGUGAAAUGCGUAGAGAUGCGGCGGAACACCGAUGGCGAAGGCAGCCCCCUGGGCUGAGAUUGACGCUCAGGCACGAAAGCGUGGGGAGCAAACAGG
rnacentral:rRNA from 1 species